GAAACAACGGCAGCUCUAUCUAGGGGUGGUAUGAGAUGGAAGGGACAAGCCUCUGCUGGGCUCGAUACAGGGGUUGAGGCUCGACCUGGGUAUUGAAAGAUGGUCACAUGUUUCCCCACGUAAACGGGCCCAGAGAGCAAGCGUGCAAAGGCCCAAAGGGACCAACCAGCAUGGAGUGUUUGGGGAAUGGCGAGGAGCUUCUGUAUGGCCGGGCCAGGGGGAAGUCUGAAAGGGGAGGCAGGCACUGUAAGAGACAGGACUGGUAGGGCUGCAAAGGCUAGAUCCCCAAACAUCUUGUGGGUUUGGCCAAGGAGUCUGGUCCAGAAUAGAAAUUCCUGGAUAUAGCCACCAGCAACCUGUUUGACCAUGCUUCCUGUUUCACAGCGGAGGCUGUGAACUCACCAAAGAACUGGAUUCAGGAGCGUUUGCUCCCCGGCAAAAAUAGAACACCUCCCACCCCCCACCACCCAAAUGAAGGCAAAAGGCUACUAUUGUGUGGAGGCAUUCAGAGGAAGCAGGUGGAAUUUCAUCUGGAGUGAAACUCCUCCAUUGAAACAAACACCUCAUUGCCAGAUCCCAAAAGAGCACAUUAUAGGAGGUCAUUGCUGUCUGUAGGGAAGGGAGUGUCCUAGACACCAACAGAUGCCUCAUAAAACUGAGAGUGAGCAGGACUGCAGCUAAAAGGCCUUCAGACACCUCACAAAAUGGUGAUUUUGGGACUGCAAACAGACAUUUCUUUCACUUCCCCACACUGCAUAUGGAGAAAGAGCGAGGAGGGGGUUUUACGUUACGCUCAGCUGAGAGCCAGAGAAGUAAACUGCCUUCCACCGGCUCAGAUUUUAUUUUCAGCAAAUGGGCGCCUUCACGUGUAGACCAAAUCCCUUCCCGCCUGGCCUCUGAGACUCUUGUUCGGGGACCUGCUCCACAGAUCCCAUUGUCUCUGUGCUCCAAAACAACAAAGAAGUGGAUUUUUGCCAAUCCUUUCUGGUACCUGGUUGUUUUGACACAGUGAACUUCAGCUUUCGACCAACGCGGAUUUCUCUGCCACUUAGGUCAUUUCAACAUGAAAUGACUCCAUUCAGCAACAGCGUGUGAGAUACCACGCAAAAUCACCACAAUCCCCGUGGACUGUUGGGAAAUGAGGAAGCAGAGAGAGGCUGCUCAAAAUGGAACAGAAACUCUAUUUAAAACAAUUUUCUGAAAAUCAGUGAUUGCAGAGGCUCUGAGCCAGGACAGCUGGGAGCAAGCCAUCGGAUCCCCCUUUUAAGACACAGCUCCCUGUUGCUGUCAGCAGACCACAUAUUUCUUAGCAUCUCUGAAGAAAUGUUAAAUCAAUAAACUACCUAGAGAUUGCUGACA
rnacentral:lncRNA from 1 species